rnacentral:rRNA from 1 species
GGACGAAAGUCUGACGCAGCAACGCCGCGUGAGGGAUGACGGCCUUCGGGUUGUAAACCUCUCUUGUCAGGGACGAUGAUGACGGUACCUGACGAAUAAGCCACGGCUAACUACGUGCCAGCAGCCGCGGUAAUACGUAGGUGGCAAGCGUUGUCCGGAUUUACUGGGCGUAAAGAGCGCGCAGGCGGUCGAUCAAGUCGCGUGUGAAAGCCCCCGGCUCAACUGGGGAGGGUCACGCGAUACUGAUCGACUCGAAGGCAGGAGAGGGUAGUGGAAUUCCCGGUGUAGUGGUGAAAUGCGUAGAUAUCGGGAGGAACACCAGUGGCGAAGGCGACUACCUGGCCUGUUCUUGACGCUGAGGCGCGAAAGCUAGGGGAGCAAACGGGAUUAGAUACCCCGGUAGUCCUAGCCGUAAACGAUGGACACUAGGUGUUGGUGGUAUCAACCCCGCCAGUGCCGAAGCUAACGCAUUAAGUGUCCCGCCUGGGGAGUACGGCCGCAAGGCUA